rnacentral:rRNA from 1 species
UACGUAGGGUGCAAGCGUUAAUCGGAAUUACUGGGCGUAAAGCGUGCGCAGGCGGCCCGGUAAGUCCGCUGUGAAAGUCAAAGGCUCAACCUUUGAAUGCCGGUGGAUACUGUCGGGCUAGAGUCCGGAAGAGGCGAGUGGAAUUCCUGGUGUAGCGGUGGAAUGCGCAGAUAUCAGGAGGAACACCAAUAGCGAAGGCAGCUCGCUGGGACGGUACUGACGCUGAGGCGCGAAAGCGUGGGGAGCGAACAGG